UACGGGGGGAGCAAGCGUUGUUCGGAUUUACUGGGCGUAAAGGGCGCGUAGGCGGUCAGCACAAGUCGGUUGUGAAAUCUCCGAGCUUAACUCGGAAAGGUCAACCGAAACUGUGCGACUAGAGUGCAGAAGGGGUAACUGGAAUUCUUGGUGUAGCGGUGAAAUGCGUAGAUAUCAAGAGGAACACCUGCGGCGAAGGCGGGUUGCUGGGCUGACACUGACGCUGAAGCGCGAAAGCCAGGGGAGCGAACGGG
rnacentral:rRNA from 1 species